rnacentral:rRNA from 1 species
UACAGGGGGUGCAAACGUUGCUCGGAAUUAUUGGGCGUAAAGCGCGCGUAGGCGGUCGCUUAAGUCGGAUGUGAAAGCCCUUGGCUCAACUGAGGAAGUGCAUCCGAAAACUGAACGGCUUGAGUACAAAAGAGGGUCGCGGAAUUCCCGGUGUAGAGGUGAAAUUCGUAGAUAUCGGGAGGAACACCGGUGGCGAAGGCGGCGACCUGGGUUGAUACUGACGCUGAGGCGCGAAAGCGUGGGGAGCAAACAGG